rnacentral:rRNA from 1 species
GAUGAACGCUGGCGGCGUGCCUAAUACAUGCAAGUCGAGCGAAUGGAUUAAGAGCUUGCUCUUAUGAAGUUAGCGGCGGACGGGUGAGUAACACGUGGGUAACCUGCCCAUAAGACUGGGAUAACUCCGGGAAACCGGGGCUAAUACCGGAUAACAUUUUGAACCGCAUGGUUCGAAAUUGAAAGGCGGCUUCGGCUGUCACUUAUGGAUGGACCCGCGUCGCAUUAGCUGGUUGGUGAGGUAACGGCUCACCAAGGCAACGAUGCGUAGCCGGCCUGGGAGGGUGAUCGGCCACCCGGGGACUGAGACACGGCCCAGACUCCUACGGGAGGCAGCAGUAGGGAAUCUUCCGCCAUGGACGAGAGUCUGACGGAGCAACGCCGCGUGAGUGAUGAAGGCUUUCGGGUCGUAAAACUCUGUUGUUAGGGAAGAACAAGUGCUAGUUGAAUAAGCUGGCACCUUGACGGUACCUAACCAGAAAGCCACGGCUAACUACGUGCCAGCCGCCGCCGUAA